GGGGAUGAAAGGCAUAGACAUAUGCUUCCCUUCUCUUCAUGCGCGAUAGAGCCCGGAUAACUCUUUAAUCUGUCCGAACCCACAAAUGCUAAAUCCAUCAAAUCGCCGUUUUUCGCGGCAAAGGAUUUCUCAUUCGCUUACGCUCUAGCCUAAGCGACGAUGCCCCGGUGCAUUCCUGACGCGCCGGCAAGCAGCGACAUAGAUGCAGGAUAGCCGCGGGGACUCCUCUCCCCACGGUAAACGGCUUCGGCCGACGAGGAUCGGGUCAAGGGCGUUCUGCUAUUCCUCGAGCCCUCGGCCCUAACACCCCUUAAUCGGGGUAAAGAAUAGCUACAUCGCGUAGAAGUGUUGAGAAGGAUCAUGUGCACCUGGGUUCGACUCCCAGCAUCUCCACAA
rnacentral:tmRNA from 1 species